rnacentral:rRNA from 1 species
GAUUGAACGCUGGCGGCAGGCCUAACACAUGCAAGUCGAGCGGAUGAAGGGAGCUUGCUCCUGGAUUCAGCGGCGGACGGGUGAGUAAUGCCUAGGAAUCUGCCUGGUAGUGGGGGAUAACGUCCGGAAACGGGCGCUAAUACCGCAUACGUCCUGAGGGAGAAAGUGGGGGAUCUUCGGACCUCACGCUAUCAGAUGAGCCUAGGUCGGAUUAGCUAGUUGGUGGGGUAAAGGCCUACCAAGGCGACGAUCCGUAACUGGUCUGAGAGGAUGAUCAGUCACACUGGAACUGAGACACGGUCCAGACUCCUACGGGAGGCAGCAGUGGGGAAUAUUGGACAAUGGGCGAAAGCCUGAUCCAGCCAUGCCGCGUGUGUGAAGAAGGUCUUCGGAUUGUAAAGCACUUUAAGUUGGGAGGAAGGGCAGUAAGUUAAUACCUUGCUGUUUUGACGUUACCUACAGAAUAAGCACCGGCUAACUUCGUG